GUUUGAUGGCGACCGGCGCACGGGUGAGUAACACGUAUCCAACCUGCCGAUGACUCGGGGAUAGCCUUUCGAAAGAAAGAUUAAUACCCGAUGGCAUAGUUCUUCCGCAUGGUGGAACUAUUAAAGAAUUUCGGUCAUCGAUGGGGAUGCGUUCCAUUAGGUUGUUGGCGGGGUAACGGCCCACCAAGCCUUCGAUGGAUAGGGGUUCUGAGAGGAAGGUCCCCCACAUUGGAACUGAGACACGGUCCAAACUCCUACGGGAGGCAGCAGUGAGGAAUAUUGGUCAAUGGACGAGAGUCUGAACCAGCCAAGUAGCGUGAAGGAUGACUGCCCUAUGGGUUGUAAACUUCUUUUAUACGGGAAUAAAGUGAGGCACGUGUGCCUUUUUGUAUGUACCGUAUGAAUAAGGAUCGGCUAACUCCGUGCCAGCAGCCGCGGUAAUACGGAGGAUCCGAGCGUUAUCCGGAUUUAUUGGGUUUAAAGGGAGCGUAGGCGGACGCUUAAGUCAGUUGUGAAAGUUUGCGGCUCAACCGUAAAAUUGCAGUUGAUACUGGGUGUCUUGAGUACAGUAGAGGCAGGCGGAAUUCGUGGUGUAGCGGUGAAAUGCUUAGAUAUCACGAAGAACU
rnacentral:rRNA from 1 species